CUCUGCUCUGAAGAAAGUGCUGUCUGGCUCCAACUCCAGUUCUUGCCCCUGAGCAGCGCCUGGAACCUAACCCUUCCCACUCUGUCACCUUCUCGAUCCCGCCGGCGCUUUAGAGCCGCAGUCCAGCCUUGGAUCCUCAGAGCCUCAGCCACUAGCUGCGAUGCAUGUGAUCAAGCGAGAUGGCCGCCAAGAGCGAGUUAUGUUUGACAAAAUUACAUCUCGAAUCCAGAAGCUUUGCUAUGGACUCAAUAUGGAUUUUGUUGAUCCUGCUCAGAUCACCAUGAAAGUAAUCCAAGGCUUGUACAGUGGGGUCACCACAGUGGAACUAGAUACUUUGGCUGCUGAAACAGCUGCAACCUUGACUACUAAGCACCCUGACUAUGCUAUCCUGGCAGCCAGGAUCGCUGUCUCUAACUUGCACAAAGAAACAAAGAAAGUGUUCAGUGAUGUGAUGGAAGACCUCUAUAACUACAUAAAUCCACAUAAUGGCAAACACUCUCCCAUGGUGGCCAAGUCAACAUUGGAUAUUGUUCUGGCCAAUAAAGAUGUAUGUAUAACACUUUUCUGGUGGAAAUUUUUUGA
rnacentral:sRNA from 1 species